rnacentral:rRNA from 1 species
AUUGGACGCUGGCGGCAUGCCUUACACAUGCAAGUCGAACGGCAGCAUGAUCUAGCUUGCUAGAUUGAUGGCGAGUGGCGAACGGGUGAGUAAUACAUCGGAACGUGCCCUGUAGUGGAGGAUAACUAGUCGAAAGAUUAGCUAAUACCGCAUACGACCUGAGGGUGAAAGUGGGGGACCGCAAGGCCUCAUGCCAUAGGAGCGGCCGAUGUCUGAUUAGCUAGUUGGUGAGGUAAAGGCUCACCAAGGCGACGAUCAGUAGCUGGUCUGAGAGGACGAUCAGCCAAACUGGGACUGAGACACGGCCCAGACUCCUACGGGAGGCAGCAGUGGGGAAUUUUGGACAAUGGGGGCAACCCUGAUCCAGCAAUGCCGCGUGUGUGAAGAAGGCCUUCGGGUUGUAAAGCACUUUUGUCCGGAAAGAAAUCGCACUUACUAAUAUUAGGUGUGGAUGACGGUACCGGAAGAAUAAGGACCGGCUAACUACGUGCCAGCAGCCGCGGUAACAC